UCAGGACGAACGCUGGCGGCGUGCCUAAUACAUGCAAGUCGAGCGGACAGAAGGGAGCUUGCUCCCGGAUGUUAGCGGCGGACGGGUGAGUAACACGUGGGUAACCUGCCUGUAAGACUGGGAUAACUCCGGGAAACCGGAGCUAAUACCGGAUAGUUCCUUGAACCGCAUGGUUCAAGGAUGAAAGACGGUUUCGGCUGUCACUUACAGAUGGACCCGCGGCGCAUUAGCUAGUUGGUGAGGUAACGGCUCACCAAGGCGACGAUGCGUAGCCGACCUGAGAGGGUGAUCGGCCACACUGGGACUGAGACACGGCCCAGACUCCUACGGGAGGCAGCAGUAGGGAAUCUUCCGCAAUGGACGAAAGUCUGACGGAGCAACGCCGCGUGAGUGAUGAAGGUUUUCGGAUCGUAAAGCUCUGUUGUUAGGGAAGAACAANUGCAAGAGUAACGCUUGCC
rnacentral:rRNA from 1 species